ensembl:lncRNA
CUGCUGCCCUACACAGUUUCACACACUGGCACACGGCCCACAAAGCCACAAAUCUGCCUGCAGCAUUAUCGGGUAUUUUAAAAACCCUUACAGGUCUCAAGAGGAGCAAGAGAAGGCUGACGGUUAUUGACUCAACAUGCUUUCUUGAAAUUUCAUUGCUCUACUUUGGCUCAAAUCUAUCAAUACAGGUCUCCCAGAUCUCACUGACAGAUAUCAGACAAGAUGUUCUUUGUGAAGAGGAGUCACACAACAAAGGGUGAUUUAUAAGACAUUGUGGGGAAAUGGUCUAAAGGUAAAAAA